UACAGAGGUCCCAAGCGUUGUUCGGAUUCACUGGGCGUAAAGGGUGCGUAGGCGGUCGGGUAAGUCUGAUGUGAAAUCUCGCAGCUUAACUGCGAAACUGCAUUGGAUACUAUCCGACUAGAGGAAUGGAGGGGAGACUGGAAUACUUGGUGUAGCAGUGAAAUGCGUAGAUAUCAAGUGGAACACCAGUGGCGAAGGCGAGUCUCUGGACAUUUCCUGACGCUGAGGCACGAAAGCCAGGGGAGCAAACGGG
rnacentral:rRNA from 1 species